rnacentral:rRNA from 1 species
AGAAAGAUCGUGCCAGCNGCCGCGGUAAUACAUGGAUGNGAAAAUCUGGGGCUCAACCCCAGACCUGCNUCCGAUACGGUCGAGCUAGAGUUUGGUAGGGGAGACUGGAAUUCCUGGUGUAGCGGUGGAAUGCGCAGAUAUCAGGAGGAACACCAAUGGCGAAGGCAGGUCUCUGGGCCAAUACUGACACUGAGGAGCGAAAGCGUGGGGAGCGAACAGGAUUAGAUACCCUGGUAGUCCACGCCGUAAACGGUGGGCGCUAGUUGUGGGAACCUUCCACGGUUUCUGCGGCGCAGCUAACGCAUUAAGCGCCCCGCCUGGGGAGUACGAUCGCAAGAUUAAAACUCAAAGGAAUUGACGGGGCCCCGCACAAGCAGCGGAGCAUGCGGCUUAAUUCGACGCAACGCGAAGAACCUUACCAAGGCUUGACAUAUACAGGAAUAUGGCAGAGAUGUCAUAGCGGUAAAACGUCUGUAUACAGGUGGUGCAUGGUUGUCGUCAGCUCGUGUCGUGAGAUGUUGGGUUAAGUCCCGCAACGAGCGCAACCCUCGUUCUGUGUUGCCAGCAUUUAGUUGGGGACUCACAGGAGACUGCCGGGGUUAACUCGGAGGAAGGUGGGGAUGACGUCAAAUCAUCAUGCCCCUUAUGUCUUGGGCUGCACGCAUGCUACAAUGGCUGGUACAAAGGGCUGCAAUACUGCAAAGUGGAGCGAAUCCCAAAAAGCCAGUCUCAGUUCGGAUUGGGGUCUGCAACUCGACCCCAUGAAGUCGGAGUUGCUAGUAAUCGUAGAUCAGCAACGCUACGGUGAAUACGUUCCCGGGGCUUGUACACACCGCCCGUCAUCUUGCUGAAAAAC